UAUUAUUAUUAUUAUUGUCACGCUCCGGAUGUCUCAUUCCCUGGGCACGCCGACAAAUCCGCCGUAUACAAAGAAAAUUUUCCUGUAUACGAAGCGACAGCUGUACCUGUAAAUCAAACAUUACUACGAACAGUAGUAGAGAGCUGCUAGAGAAAACAGAAGCUAAACAAACUGAGUUUCAUAUAUAUAGUCCAAAUCCAAAAUACAGCGUUACUCGCACUGGCGAGUUAAGUACUAUGUAUAUAAGCUCGAAGUAAAACAACUAUCUGCAGUAGGGUGCCUCUAACUCUGUCAGUCGGGUAGGGCUCUAGCUCGCGACGCCCUUGCCUCGAUCCUGAUCCGCGGAAGGCGCUGCAGCCGAAACCUGUGGCUCUGCAAAAACAUGGGUAACAACUGGGCGUGAGAACUACUGUAAAAACAAGUAGUCCUCAGUGGGUACCGCCCAAAACAACAUCGGUCCACCCACUAAGUCUACAGAAGGGAGCGAGAGUAGUCAGAAAAGCAGGAAGUAACUCUACCGCUAUCGAUCACUACACUAUCAUGCUCUACACUAACCAACUGUAGGAAAAUAUCAAAUCUGACCCAAUCCAAUCGGGACUGUAAGCAUACCCGUCCCCGGGACUGUGAAUACACCCGUCCCUACCCCGUUGCGACUAUCAG
rnacentral:lncRNA from 1 species